rnacentral:misc_RNA from 1 species
AAUCAAACGAAAAAAAAAUCUCGCUCGAGUGUGUGGCGCUUUCGAAGUUCGGUUUUGCAGGGGGAAAAUACAUAUUUUUGGUAUUGCUGCCUGGCCUGCUCCAGCGAAGCAAAAAGUGAAGAGAGGAAAAAAAGAACGAGUGUUUGCUUGAAUUCCUCCGCGGAAAAAAAAGAGUGUGUGUGUUGGUCGGGAUCUGUGUCACCGCGAAAACUGGCCAAGCUGGAACGGAACAAACGAAACGACGCCGAGUGUUCCGACGACCCCGCGCCCGCACCUCCCGGAACCGGUUCCGGUGGCCAGACCGAUUCCGGAACCCCGGUGGACGUGUCCGAGCCGAAGAAGAAAAUGAACGGACUAAGCUUCAGCGAGCUGUGCUGUCUGUUCUGCUGUCCGCCCUGCCCGGGCCGGAUCGCGUCCAAGUUGGCCUUUCUGCCGCCGGAGCCGAGCUACGACCUGAAGGCGGAGGAUGAGGCGGCCGGCAGUGGGGGCAAGUUUGCGCUCACGCUGCUGGACCGGGCCGACUGGCAGUACGGGGACCGGGAGAAGGAGUGCUUCGAGGCGUUCUACUCGCGGUCCUCGCGGGGGAACCGGAUCGCCUGUCUGUUUGUCAAGUGCAGCACCAACGCGAGAUUCACCCUGCUCUUCUCCCACGGCAACGCGGUCGAUCUGGGCCAGAUGACGAGCUUCUUCAUCGGGCUGGGCCAGCGGAUAAACUGCAACAUCUUCAGCUACGACUACUCGGGCUACGGCAUGAGCACGGGGAAGCCGACGGAGAAGAAUCUGUACGCGGACAUUGACGCCGCGUGGCACGCGCUGAGGACGCGAUAUGGGAUUAGCCCGGAGAAUAUCAUUUUGUACGGCCAGAGCAUCGGGACGGUGCCGACGGUGGACCUGGCCAGCCGAUACGAGGUGGGCGCGGUCAUCCUGCACUCGCCGCUCAUGUCCGGCAUGCGGGUGGCCUUCCCGGCGACGAAGCGCACCUGGUUCUUUGAUGCGUUUCCGAGCAUCGACAAGGUUCCCAAGGUGACGUCGCCGGUGCUGGUGAUACACGGCACCGAGGACGAGGUGAUUGACUUUUCCCACGGCAUGACCAUCUACGAGAAGUGUCCGCGGGCGGUCGAGCCGCUGUGGGUGGAGGGCGCCGGCCACAACGACGUCGAGAUGUACAGCCAGUAUCUGGAGCGACUGAAGCAGUUUGUGUCGGUGGAGCUGGUCAACUGACAAAAACUGAACAAGGGGGGUGGUGGAAGCGGUGGUAGUAGAGGUGGGGGAAGUGGGGAUGGAGAGGGCAGUAAGGAGGGAGGACGGAAGAAGCGUAGUGGUGCAGCGGUGGCGGAUAGUGAGCAGAGACGGAGUGGCGGAGAUGGGAGCGCGGCCGGGCAUAGCGAUAUUCCCGAGGAGGACGAUGAAGAUCUGAACACGGACGACGAGAUUCUGAACGCCUCGAUCACGAUCAGCUCCAACUCGACGACGAACGUGUCCAUGACGACGGCGGCGACCGCGGCGGAGAAGCUUCUCUAGCAGCACGGGUCGGACGCGGGUAGCCAGGUGUUCAACAUGGCUAC